rfam:Hordeum vulgare subsp. vulgare, WGS project CAJW01000000 data, contig: morex_contig_276793
UUUGUACUCCCUCUGUCUUAAAAUUAUUGUCUUAACUUUGUUUAAAAAUGGAUGUAUUUAAAUACUAAAACUUGACUAGAUACAUUUAUAUUUAAACAAAUCUAAGACAAGAAUUUUGGGACGGAGGAAGUAUAUA